rnacentral:lncRNA from 1 species
CCGACGCCGCCCGCCCCGCUGCGCCGCCCCUGCCCGGCCGGCCGAGCUAUGACGGACGCCAGCAACAGGAAGGAGGGCUUCAAGAAAUGCCGGAGCGCCACUUUCAGCAUCGAUGGCUACAGCUUCACCAUCGUUGCAAAUGAAGCUGGAGACAAGAAUGCUAGACCACUUGCCCGCUUCUCCCGGUCCAAGUCUCAGAACUGUCUGUGGAACUCCUUCAUUGAUGGGCUCACAGGGAAUGUCAAAGAGAAGCCACGGCCAACGAUUGUCCAGGAUCCCCGACCUCCAGAAGAAAUCCUAGCAGAUGAAUUGCCACAGCUGGAUAGCCCAGAAGCCUUGGUGAAGACAUCCUUCAGGUGUCUGGUAUUUUGUCUCAGCAAGGAGAGAAAAGUAACUAAGACAACUUCUAAAACAAUCCUGGAAUAAUGCAAAUCCGGGUAGCACUUGAUUGGUGUUGAUCGUCA